CUUUGGUUAAUGGCGGCUUACCUUGCAUUUGAGCUUGGUUGGUGGCUGUUCGCUCGGUGGUCUCGGGGAUGUCUUCCGUAAAGGUGCAUGAGUGGUGUUUGGUAUGUUACGGGUGGUUGGCUCUUUGCUUGCGCAACAACUUCCACCUGGCAUACCUCUUCAUUUUUGUGUCAAUGCUUGUAUCGCUUUGACGCAAUGUGGGUUUCUUGUGUUGCAUGCCUAAUCAACGGUAUCGAUUGACGAACAUUUGUUGCUUUCAUCUUGGGUUGCACUUGUGAUGCGAGAUGAACCUUGUAGCAGCCUUUGUGAUCCACCAAUUUGGUUGCGAUGGCAUCAUUUUUGUGGCUCAUUGAGCGUUGCAUGGACUCAUUGAUACGGAAACUUUUGUGGGCAUGGGAUCUUUUAGAUCCUUGUUUGCCCUAUUAAAGCUUUUCAAAUACGAUUGCCUAUCACGUUAAGUCAUGGUGGGCUAUAUCGAAUAUGAAUG
rnacentral:misc_RNA from 1 species